GUGGGAACAGCAUUGCUUGCAUUGAUUCAAUUGAUUUGAAGCGGCGGUUAUACUAUACAUACAUAGUUUUCACUAGGGGUUUUUACCGAAUUGUUCACAAGCCCGUCAGAAGCAACCUCAGCAGAAAGCCACUCUUCCAGAGUCUCGUCCAUCGUCUGCUUAGGCGACUAUUUAAUAGCCUUUAGAUCUUCCUGUGAGUUAGGCCUAAUACUCUACUAUAUAGGAUAGGCUAGGCUCCUUCCUCUGUUCUUUUUAAUAUACACUAAACCGAAAGUCUUGG
rnacentral:lncRNA from 1 species